rnacentral:rRNA from 1 species
AUUGAACGCUAGCGGGAUGCCUUACACAUGCAAGUCGAACGGCAGCGCGGACUUCGGUCUGGCGGCGAGUGGCGAACGGGUGAGUAAUGUACCGGAACGUGCCCAGUAGCGGGGGAUAACUACUCGAAAGAGUAGCUAAUACCGCAUACGCCCUACGGGGGAAAGGGGGGGAUCGCAAGACCUCUCACUAUUGGAGCGGGCGAUAGCGGAUUAUCUAGUUGGUGAGGUAAAGGCUCACCAAGGCGACGAUCCGUAGCUGGUUUGAGAGGACGACCAGCCACACUGGGACUGAGACACGGCCCAGACUCCUACGGGAGGCAGCAGUGGGGAAUUUUGGACAAUGGGGGCAACCCUGAUCCAGCCAUUCCGCGUGUGCGAUGAAGGCCUUCGGGUUGUAAAGCACUUUUGGCAGGAAAGAAAUCGCACGGAUUAAUACUCUGUGUGGAUGACGGUACCUGCAGGAUAAGCACCGGCUAACUACGUGCCAGCCGCCGCCGUAA